rnacentral:rRNA from 1 species
UGUUUCGGCUAGGGGGCCAUCCCGGCUUACCAACCCGAUGCAAACUGCGAAUACCGGAGAAUGUUAUCACGGGAGACACACGGCGGGUGCUAACGUCCGUCGUGAAGAGGGAAACAACCCAGACCGCCAGCUAAGGUCCCAAAGUCAUGGUUAAGUGGGAAACGAUGUGGGAAGGCCCAGACAGCCAGGAUGUUGGCUUAGAAGCAGCCAUCAUUUAAAGAAAGCGUAAUAGCUCACUGGUCGAGUCGGCCUGCGCGGAAGAUGUAACGGGGCUAAACCAUGCACCGAAGCUGCGGCAGCGACGCUGAUGCGUUGUUGGGUAGGGGAGCGUUCUGUAAGCCUGCGAAGGUGGCCUGUGAGGGUUGCUGGAGGUAUCAGAAGUGCGAAUGCUGACAUAAGUAACGAUAAAGCGGGUGAAAAGCCCGCUCGCCGGAAGACCAAGGGUUCCUGUCCAACGUUAAUCGGGGCAGGGUGAGUCGACCCCUAAGGCGAGGCCGAAAGGC